rnacentral:rRNA from 1 species
CCCCACUGCUAUCGGGAUGGGACUAAGACAUGCUAGUCGAGCGUCUCCAAGCUAUGGAAGAGACGCGGCACACAGCUCAGUAACACGUGGCUAACCUGCCCUUGGGACAAGGACAACUCCGGGAAACUGGGGCUAAUCCCUGAUAAGUGAGAACUCCUGGAAUGGAUUCUCGCUCAAAGGGCGUUUAGACCAUGCUUCUAGGCGUCGCCCAAGGAGGGGGCCGCGACCGAUCAGGUUGUUGGUGAGGUAACGGCUCACCAAGCCUUUAACCGGUACGGGCCGUGAGAGCGGAAGCCCGGAGAUGGGCACUGAGACAAGGGCCCAGGCCCUACGGGGCGCAGCAGUCGCGAAAACUCCGCAAUACACGAAAGUGUGACGGGGCCAUCCCGAGUGCCAUCCGCUGAGGAUGGCUUUUCCCCAGUGUAUAAAGCUGGGGGAAUAAGGAGAGGGCAAGCCUGGUGUCAGCCGCCGCGGUAAUACCAGCUCUCCGAGUGGUGGGGAUGUUUAUUGGGCCUAAAGCAUUCGUAGCCUGCUUGGCAAGUCCUCCGUUAAAUCCAACGAUUCAAUCGUUGGGCUGCGGGGGAUACUGUCCGGCUAGGGGGCGGGAGAGGCCGACGGUAUCCUCGGGGUAGGGGUGAAAUCCUAUAAUCCCGGGAGGACCACCAGUGGCGAAGGCUGUCGGCUAGAACGCGCUCGACGGUGAGGGAUGAAAGCUGGGGGAGCGAACCGGAUUAGAUACCCGGGUAGUCCCAGCUGUAAACGAUGCAGGCUAGGUGUUGGCGCGGCUACGUGCCGCUCCAGUGCCGCAGGGAAGCCGUUAAGCCUGCCGCCUGGGAAGUACGGCCGCAAGGCUGAAACUUAAAGGAAUUGGCGGGGGAGCACCACAAGGUGUGAAGCUUGCGGUUU